rnacentral:rRNA from 1 species
GAUGAACGCUAGCGGCAGGCUUAAUACAUGCAAGUCGAGGGGCAGCAUGACUGUAGCAAUACAGUUGAUGGCGACCGGCAAACGGGUGCGGAACACGUACAGAACCUUCCUUCGAGCGGGGAAUAGCCCAGAGAAAUUUGGAUUAAUACCCCAUAGUACAACGGAGUGGCAUCACUUUGUUGUUAAAGAUUUAUCACUUGAAGAUGGCUGUGCGGCUGAUUAGGUAGUUGGCGGGGUAACGGCCCACCAAGCCUGCGAUCAGUAACUGGUGUGAGAGCACGACCAGUAACACGGGCACUGAGACACGGGCCCGACUCCUACGGGAGGCAGCAGUAAGGAAUAUUGGUCAAUGGACGAAAGUCUGAACCAGCCAUGCCGCGUGGAGGAUGAAGGUCCUCUGGAUUGUAAACUUCUUUUAUAUGGGACGAAAAAAGGGUUUUCUAACUCGUCUGACGGUACCAUAUGAAUAAGCACCGGCUAACUCCGUGCCAGCCGCCGCGGUAAAAC